GACAGAGGUCCCGAGCGUUAGGCGGAAUCACUGGGCUUAAAGCGUGUGUAGGCGGCUUCCUAAGUACCUUGUGAAAUCCCACGGCUCACCCGUGGAACUGCUCGGUAUACUGGGUCGCUUGAGCCACUUAGGGGCUACCGGAACAAAUGGUGGAGCGGUGAAAUGCGUAGAUAUCAUUUGGAACGCCAAUGGUGAAAACAGGUAGCUGGGAGUGUGCUGACGCUGAGACACGAAAGCCAGGGGAGCAAACGGG
rnacentral:rRNA from 1 species